CCACAUGUAGCAGGCAAGAAGCUUGCGUUGCAAAGCUGCUGUCCCGCCUGACUGCGGAGAAAGAAGACUCGUUUAUGGUUGUUCUACAGCCGCUGCUGACGUCCAUCAGCUCUGUCCUGCUCCCAGCUGCAGAUAGGCCUGGAUUUCAAUGAGUCGUGUCCCAACUCCGGUGUGAACGAUUUCCCGACGUCAAGACGAAGUGGGGUCAAGUCAUGGGUGUUGCAAGGAAGCUGUCACAAGAUGAUCCGGUAUUGAACGGCUACAGCACAACCGAGAGAACGAAAUGUACGUCGCAAUCAAGCUAUGUCGUUGCCAUCUUCUAUGUGCCAUGCGUUACCUGAUGUGCCAGCCUGCUAUGUCGGAUACCGCUAACCAUGCAUCGACUAGGCGCCAGGCGCGAACUGAUGGUGGUGGUGGUGGUGGUGGUGAGAAGGAGAGCUCUGUGCCAGAAUAACUUUGCAGUUUAGAGAGCGUGUCUGGGCAGGCGUGGAUUUACCCCCAUACUGCCAGGUGUGUAUUUACCACCAUAUGAACCAACCAUAAGUGCAGUUGCAGUGGAGUCUUCAACUUUAUUCUCCCGAGUCAAGCUCCUUGUGAAGACAUCUAAGAAGAAGAUUGCCUGAUGAGUCCAGCCGGGACGAAAGGUACGUCGCAAUCAAGCUAUGUUGUUGCUGUGUCAUCUGCUAUGCGCCAUACGCUACCUGAUGUACCAGCCUGCUAUGUCGGACACCACUCACCCUGCAUCGACUAGGCACCAGACGCGAACUGAUGAUGGUGGUGGUGGCGGGAAGGAGAGCUCUGUGCCAGAAUAACUUUUCAGUUUAGAGAGCGUGUGUAGGCAGGUGUGUAUUUACCGCCGUAUGAAUCAACCACAGUACGAUCAGCUGACGUUAUAACUUAUAAGGAUGAUCUCAUGCAGCGAUAUUAUUGAUAUUUUUUAAGUCUUUUCUAAGGACUCUCCACUGCAGCGUUUUCUUUCCACUCGGUUCUCUUCUUUUCAUCGCUCAGCUUGCACUUGCAAUGCUUAUACAUACUGAUCAAUCCCGUUCAAUUUUCCGUACAUUUUUCUCAAAAUCCAUAGCGCGGACGAAGUAGUGAUUUUCCGUACAAAUAUGGAAAAUACGGAAGGUUGA